CCAGACUCCUACGGGAGGCAGCAGUAGGGAAUUUUGCGCAAUGGACGAAAGUCUGACGCAGCAACGCCGCGUGAGCGAUGAAGGUCUUCGGAUCGUAAAGCUCUGUUGAGUGGGAAGAAACGUCUCGGGGUUAAUAUCUCCGAGGCCUGACGGUACCACUCGAGGAAGCUCCGGCCAACUACGUGCCAGCAGCCGCGGUAAUACGUAGGGAGCGAGCGUUGUUCGGAAUCACUGGGCGUAAAGGGAGUGCAGGCGGAAAGGUAAGUCAGAAGUGUAAUCUACGGGCUUAACCCGUAUCUCGCUUUUGAUACUGCUUUUCUUGAGUAGUGGAGAGGGAAACGGAAUUCCAGGUGUAGCGGUGGAAUGCGUAGAUAUCUGGAAGAACACCAGUAGCGAAGGCGGUUUCCUGGCCACAUACUGACGCUGAGGCUCGAAAGCGUGGGGAGCAAACAGGAUUAGAUACCCUGGUAGUCCACGCCGUAAACGAUGGGCACUAGAUAUCGGGGAAUUCGAUUUCUUCGGUGUCGCAGUUAACGCGAUAAGUGCCCCGCCUGGGGAGUACGCCCGCAAGGGUGAAACUCAAAGGAAUUGACGGGGGCCCGCACAAGCGGUGGAGCAUGCGCUUUAAUUCGAUGCAACGCGAAGAACCUUACCUGGGUUUGACAUGGGAGUGAAAGUUCCUAGAGAUAGGAACCUUUCCUUCGGGAACACUCCACACAGGUGCUGCAUGGUUGUCGUCAGCUCGUGUCGUGAGAUGUUGGGUUAAGUCCCGCAACGAGCGCAACCCUCGCCCUUAGUUGCCAUCAGGUAAUGCUGGGAACUCUAGGGGGACCGCCUGGAACAACCAGGAGGAAGGUGGGGAUGAUGUCAAAUCAUCAUGGCUCUUACGUCCAGGGCUAGACGCGUGCUACAAUGGUCGGUACAGAAGGAUGCCAAGUCGUGAGACCGAGCUAAUCCAUGAAACCGGGCCUCAGUUCGGAUUGGAGUCUGCAAUUCGACU
rnacentral:rRNA from 1 species